rnacentral:lncRNA from 1 species
ACAGCUCCACUUUGCUUAGCUCUGGGAGGAGGCCAUGGUCCUGACCCAGGGGUCCGUGGGGACCACAGGCUAUGACCUGGACAGUCCCUACAACUAUAAAAUGCCACCAAUGGAGGAAGCUCUUGUGAAAACAGACAUUCAGAUAGCUCUUCUGGGUGUUAUAAACGAGUAACUCCUUGUUCUGGCUUGGAUGCAAAACAGAUUAUAAAUGUAUGGCUAGUAUCAUACUUGAAGAUUAUAGAGGAAAUGUUGCUGUUCUACUGUUUAAUUUAGGCAAGGAAAGUUUGAAGUAAAAAAGAAAAAGUGAUCCAGUUGCACAGCUCAUUUGUGAACAGAUUUUUUAUCUAAAUAUAGAAGAAGUUUAAAUUUUGAAUAACACUGAAGUGGGUUCAGGAGGUUUGGCUUUCAUCGGAAA